rnacentral:rRNA from 1 species
CUACCGGGGGGGCACAGUAGGGAAUCUUAGACAAUGGGGGCAACCCUGAUCUAGCCAUGCCGCGUGUGUGAUGAAGGCCCUAGGGUCGUAAAGCCUUUCGCCAGAGAUGAUAAUGACAGUAUCUGGUAAAGAAACCCCGGCUAACUCCGUGCCAGCAGCCGCGGUAAUACGGAGGGGGUUAGCGUUGUUGGAAUUACUGGGCGUAAAGCGCACGUAGGCGGAUUAGUAAGUUAGAGGUGAAAUCCCAGGGCUCAACCCUGGAACUGCCUUUAAUACUGCUAGUCUUGAGUUCGAGAGAGGUAAGUGGAAUUCCGAGUGUAGAGGUGAAAUUCGUAGAUAUUCGGAGGAACACCAGUGGCGAAGGCGGCUUACUGGCUCGAUACUGACGCUGAGGUGCGAAAGUGUGGGGAGCAAACAGGAUUAGAUACCCUGGUAGUCCACACCGUAAACGAUGAAUGCCAGACGUCAGCAAGUAUACCUUGUCUGGUGUCACACCUAACGGAUUAAGCAUUCCGCCUGGGAGACG